CCGAAGCGUAACAGAGCGAU
rnacentral:miRNA from 1 species